rnacentral:rRNA from 1 species
GACGGUACCUACAGAAGAAGUCCCGGCAAACUCCGUGCCAGCAGCCGCGGUAAUACGGAGGGGGCAAGCGUUGUUCGGAAUUAUUGGGCGUAAAGGGCAUGUAGGCGGUUUGGUAAGUUAAAGGUGAAAUACCAGGGCUCAACCCUGGGGCUGCUUUUAAUACUGCAGGACUAGAGUCCGGAAGAGGAUAGCGGAAUUCCUAGUGUAGAGGUGAAAUUCGUAG